UUUCAAGACCAAUGGCAGUUGUACUCUAGUUCUAACAGACGCUGUUCUUGGCUAUGAUUCUGCAGCUGCAGACACGGACUCCCUGACUUAUGUUUCCCUCUCCCUCUCUGAGCCGCUGUCAACUCUUCCACUGUGCUAUGCUCUGCAGAAGGCCAUCUCCACUCCCCAGGUCUGGGAGCUACUUGGGUCUCCCCGAAUAACCUGUGUCCCAGGACGCUCUGUUACCGCAGCUGCUUGCAGUCCCCUCUGGGGAUCUUGCUCUGCUUUCCACAGAAUGGGUAUUGUUCUUGUUUGGAUCACUGCCCUAAAUUCAAGUUCAUUCAAAAGCGCCUUUGAGAACUUGGCUCUCUCUUGCAUCUGCCUUUCAGAGUUGUAUGUACCUGGAGCGCAGCCUGGGGACCACUGCUUCCAGGAAGAUGAAGCAUCCCUUUGCAUCUUUCUGUCUUCCUUAUGGAUAGGGGUGCGUAGUCUUUUCUGCCCUCUUCCUUUGGGUUUAUGCUUGGCAGAUCAUCUGAUCAAGUCAUAUGCUUGAGCUCUAAACUCUGUGGCUGCCUAUAAAACCUGUUUUCCAAUGGUGGUAGAAACAAAGUUAUAAACACCUGUGGAUUUUAUCUCUAAAAUAUCUCCCAAAUGCCCCUGCUCUCUGCCAUGAGCACCACCGCCUCUCUGGGCCACUGCGCUCUCCUGCCUGGAUGACAGCAGUACCCUCCUCAGUACAUCCCUGCAAGCUGUUCUCCCCACAGUGAGCCAGAGAUCUUUUCUUAAACAUAAAUUGAAGUGUCAUUUUCCUGGAAACCCCCCCCCCCCCAAUAUCUCUGCACUGCCCUUAGAAUGAGAUCCAAACUUUUUCUGGUGACCUCCAGAGGCUGCUGUGACCAGGCCAGCCUGGCUCUGGGGCCCUGCCACCUUUUCCCUGACUAUCGUGCUCCUUUUCCAGAAGGAUUUGCUGCUCUUCCAGCCUCUCACACUCACCCAACUCUUUCCUGCCUCACCUGAGACAUUCCCUCCACAGACAGGACUUCCUGUCACCCAAUUGUCACUCCUAGCUCCUUUCUUCAUUCAGCCUCUUUGCUAGCUUUUUAUUUAUUUAGCCUGGCACAUACUAGGUAUUCAAUACACACCUGCUGGAUUGAAUCCAUAAACCUAUUGGAUGCUAAGUGUUUUCUCCUGAAAUUCAUUUUCCUGUCUCUAUCCGUAUUGAUGUUCUUCACUCCUCUAGGUGCCCUCCAUCAGGCAGAUGGAAUUCCUUCAUGAGGACUUCCUAACCCACUCUAGUCUGGAAUUGUCUUCUGUCUUAGGAUCUGUUGUCAUCCUAUUCACCAACAAAACUCUUACCUCACUGAAAUAGCUUCUCACUCCUCCCCUGCACACCCACACUCACAUGUACACACACCUGUUCUUUCUGUGUUGGCGGGAUGUUAUUCAUAGGGCAUGGUAAGGAACAGUGGUUAAGUAUCUGGGCUCUGGAGCCAAACUGCUUGGGUUCAAAUCUUGGCUCUGUCAAUUACUUGUGGGGCAGGUGAUUUAACCUCUCUUUGCCUCGGUUUUCUCAUCUGUAAAGCAGGGGCAAUGCUAGAACCUUCCUCACAUGGUUGCUGUGAAAAUUAAAUGGAUCAAAACGUAUCAAAUAUAUAGAACCGUGCUGGGCACGUAUUGAGCAGUAUAGAAGUAGUAGGUAUUAUGGUCAUUUGAAUGAGGAAGAAAUGAUUUUGCACUGUGAGAUUCUCAUGAACUGGGUUUUCAAUCUAGAUUUCUCCUAGACUGAAGGUCUAUCCACCUUCACUAUGUCUGCUAAGGGAUUCCUCUGGGUCACAUUUCUCCUGGCAUCUCUUAGGGCUUAGUCUGGUUGAAAGAGAAAGGGGAGUUUAGGCAUGAGCAAAAACAUAUGUUCAUUUAGCAACUUCAGUUGCUCUACUGACCCCUGACUGCCAGCUGGACACAGGAGGCCAGGACUGGCUGGGCUCCCAAGAUGGGCUGACAGGCAGAGGGGACCAUCGAGCAAGUGAUGUUGUGAAAGUGGCUGCCCUCACAUCCCCUUCAUUCUCAGUGGCGGCGGGGAUCCUGGCCUUCCCCUUCUAUCCGUUCUGCAGCCUGCUGAAGUCUUCAUGGCCUUGCUCUUUUUUUGGGAUUAAGUCUUUUGGGAUUUGUCUUAGUUAAGUUGCACCUCUUUUGAUCUCUCCACCACAGUUUUCUGUCCCUCCCCUCCCACUCUAACAGCUGAAAUGUCUCAGCCUCUGGAGCUGACUCCUGGUGCCUCCUGUUUCCUAGCCCUCCCUGAGAGUCAGCAAGGGCACAGGUUAAAUACAUGGUUUACCAGGCCUUUCUCCUGGAAAUUCUGAUUCUGGAGGCCUGGAUCAAAGUCUAAAGGGAAUCCGCACCUUCAACAAGCGCUCCUGGUGACUCUUAUCUUCAGCGAAGCUUGGAAGUCACUGCCCAGGGCUUGCUCAUGUUUUCAUUCUCCACAAAAUCUCAUGGUUUCCUCCAGCCCAGUAUGCAUCUCAUGCUUUUGACAGCAGACAGAUCUUGUUUUGUUACCCUGUGUUGCUAUCUAACUCUCAACAAUCUAUACCUUUUCUCUUCAAACAAUAGAAACUUCUAAAGAGUGGGCAUCAAGGUUUUUUGUUUCUUACAUAGUAGGGCCUCAAUAAAUAUUUGGUUGAAAUUUUACUUUUUCUUCUCAUUAUAUUCAUUUGGGGUGAAUACUGGAAUUGUUUUACGUAUCAUCAAAAGGGCAUGAAGGAAAGGGCUUGGAAAUGUGUUAGGUAGGCUAGGUGCAGUGGCUCAUGCCUGUGAUCUCAACACUUUGGGUGGCUAAGGUGGGUGGGUCGCUGGAGCCCAGGAGUUCAAGACCAGCCUUGGCAACAUGGUGAAACCUGGUCUCUACCAAAAAUACGGAACUUAGCAAUUCUUAUAACCCAGUCUCAAAAUAAAUAAAUAAACAAUCGAUCAAAAUUUAAAAAUAAAAUAAACAAUUUUUAAAAAGAGAUAGGUAAAAGAGGCAUGUUACUUUGUGAUUACACAGGCCUUACAUAUUCAGGGUUUGAUUAAGUAAGUUCAAUGAAAACAUCUCUGGUGACUGGAAUAACUCGCUGCUGUCUAAAAGUGAGUCAUGGAUAGAGCAGCAUGGAUGUGUUACUCGAAGAACUUCUCCCCACCACGAAUUGUAUGUGUGACCUUUUUUUUUUUUUUUUUUUUAGAUGGAGUUUCGCUCUUGUGACCCAGGCUGUAGUGCAAUGGUGCUAUCUCGGCUCACCGCAACCUCCGCCUCCUGGGUUCAGGCAAUUCUCCUGCCUCUCAGCCUCCCGAGUAGCUGGGAUUACAGGCACGCACCACCAUGCCCAGCUAAUUUUUUGUAUCUUUAGUAGAGACGGGGUUUCACCAUGUUGACCAGGAUGGUCUCGAUCUCUUGACCUCGUGAUCCACCCGCCUCGGCCUCCCAGAGUGCUGGGAUUACAGGCUUGAGCCACCGUGCCCGGCCUAUAUAUGUGAUCUUAAGUGAGAUGUGUCUGCAAAGUAAGCGUCAACUUCCUUAUUCAAAAAAGGUUAAAUUCUGACCUCACAGGGUGCAUGAAGUCAAAUGAGAUACUGUGUGCAGAAUCAUUUUGCAAUUUGUAAAGUGCUGUACAGAGGGUGGGAAUUACUCUUAGUCAUCCUUACAGUUAGUUUUCCAGCUCACCUGCCUGUCUGCAUUCCGUCACAGCGUUCCUGAGUCAUGUGACUACAUGUAAAGGCUGUGCUAGGGAGCCUAGGAAAUCUGCUUCCCGACAAGAGCUGUGAAACCUCACAUCCUAAUUGACAGAGACAAGGAGCAACGGUGAUUCACAGGCAGCUCCAGGAGAGCAGCCAGCUCAGGCCUGAAAACGUCUCUUUGGAUGGGUCUGCUGGGGAACGGGAACAGAUCCCUUCUAAGCUUUGGUUUGCCUCAGAGAGGAAUUUAGGAGCUGGACUAUGAUUGGAGAAAUGGUUAACGUCCACAAACAUAUACAAGGUUUUCAGAUGGCAAUGCUUAAAAUCUCAACAACAAUAAAAAAUCAUAGCUGCAUUACAGCAAAAGGGGGUUGCUGUCCUCUAAGUGAACCCUCAGAGAGUCACUUUUCUGAGCUUGAUAAGAAUAUAUUACAAGACGCAGUUUUCAGAGUUCUGUAAGCUUUGGCAGGGAUGGGCUGGUACGGGUGAGAAGAAAGCAACAGAUUUAAAAAAUCUGUAUAAACACCGAUAGAAAUAAACUUGCUGCUUGCUGCAGCGUACCCAUGUCGUUAGAGAUUUUGCCCUUAACAUCUCUCUUUUAAAUCUGACUCCAGGAAAUAGAUUUGGAACCUGAUCAAUCCCAUCCUUGACUCUGCCAUCCUUCUCCCAGAAUUAUAAACAUAAGAUUAUUACAGCGCAUUUCCUGCAUGUGCCUUCCAUGUGGCUCCAGUCUCCACCUCACAAGUGCAGCGAGUAAACGCUCCCCAAGUGUAAUUCUGAAGUGCGGCCCAUCUGAUCCAUUUCAAUCCAUCCCAUUCCUGGAAAAACCACAGUCCCCCAGCAGUCUCUAAGCCCUUCACUUUUGAAAAGCACACAGCUUCCCUGCUACCCCUUGCUUCUGUGGGUCCGGCUGGAACGGUAACAGCAACCUAAGGAAGACCCCUCUCACGCUGAUGCUGGGGCUUGGCCAUGUGACUUGCUUCUGCCAAUGGAGCUUUAGCAAACGUGAAACAGAGUUUUAAAAAGGACUGAUGCAUUGGGACUAUCCUGCUGCUGGGAGUUCUUCCCCCAUCAUGUGAACAAACCUGCCUGACAAAAGAUUGAUGGGAGAACAAACCUCAGAAUAAGAAGCUAUAUGAUGAGAAGCUUCAGCUAUCCCAGCCAUGCCAGUCAUGCCAACGGAGAGACCUCAGACAUAUCCUACCAGAUUCACUUCUUGGCCUUAUAGGAAGGAGCCAGAGUCCCAAAGAAGUCUGGGGAGAGCAGGAUGUGGCAGAGAACAGUGACCAGUGCCUUCGUGUGGAACUGGGAGCAUUGGUGAAAGACUGCAGGGUUUGGGGGAGGGAGAGACUGAGGGUUCUUGGCCUUCUGAGAUUCCCAGUCUGGAAGGCACACUCGCUCAGCCUGCAGCCUGGAGAGCAGAGGCUUGGGAAAUGCUGGAAAGGCCCUUUCUCCCCUUUCCCACUCACACCCUCCUUUCCUAUCUGCCCUGUCUGUGCUCUGCCGUCCUAUCCCACAGAGUUCUGUGGGAAAAAACACUACAUCAACAACAACAAGAUAAUAAAGGGCAUGUCAACGAGAGAGCAGGACAGGGGAGGGGGAAAGGGUGAUUUUGGCAGCAAUACCCCAUCAUCUAGUGCCUCUGCACUUCCCUCACCUCCCUCCUCCCUGAACCAGAUGGGACUGGAAGGCAGAGCUGAAGGAAACCAUAGAGAUUGCCCACCUAACCCCUUUCUCUUACAGAUGAGGAAACUAGGCCCCAAAGACAUUAGCUGAUUUGCCUAGGGUCACAUAAGAAGUUUGUGAUGGUCAGAUCAAGAAUUCAGUUUCCAGACUCUCAGUCCAGUGCUCUUUCUGCCACUCCCAAUGAUACCGACUUGUCAGGUAUCAGUUAUGUUACACUCAGCCUUGGCUUUUGGAGACCCAUUUCCAAGAGCAAUGUGAAUCCAAGGAUUUCUUUUUGUCUGAGCACUGUUUCUCUCUCUGAGCUGAUUCCUCCUCUGCUGCUUAACUUUGGCUCUAAGACAUCAAAAGUUCAGAGUCCAUUCCCAUGGAGGCCUCUCUCCUCCUACAGUGCUCUUCUUGGGUGGACUCUCAUUCUGCCCCUCUUAUCUCCUGCUGUAUGCUGACUAAACAGAGCUAUGGGCCCUGGAAUGUUUCUGCAGGCAGCAAACAGAGAUGGAUCCUGUAACACAGGGACAAGGAUUGACAGCUCUGGGACUAAUGUGGAGGAGAGUGAAGAAGUCCGGGAGGCACCACUUCUCUCCCUGUGCAUGCCCAAAGGAUGAGCUGGGCUGGGAUAAUCCUUGCAUCUCCUCUGCUUCUGAGCACAGCCCACUUUGAAGGCCAAUUCUCUCUCAUAUUUGCACCAUUUACUGCCUCACUGCAUUUAUCAUGUGACUCCAAGUGGACAAUCUGUGGCUGUGCUCCAUGAUUUAAGCAUAUGCCGAGAUGCUGGGAUCAUCUCAGGGAUGUUGCCGUCCACCUGGAUACAUCCCUGCACCCCCAGCUCAGUUCCUUGAUGGAAUCAGCUCACUGACUUUUCUGUUUCUCUGUAGCUGUUGUUGGCCGAAUCCUGGGGCUGACUGCUAGGCCAUCGCCAAACACAGCCUUGCUUAUGUUCAGGAUUCCACGAUCUCUGACUCUUCUCUCCUGUGCUUUCAGCUCUUCACUUGGCUGCGUCAGUCAAGUGUUCUUUUCCUCUUAGUUCUCCUUGCUGACUCGGUCCCCUAACUGGGUGAAGGCACACAGUGCUUUCCUUCUAGGACCUUGCUUCCUUUCCUUGGGGCAGAAGAGUUCAUGCCUGAAAGACUGCCUAAUGUCAACAAAACAACAUUCAAAGAAGCAUUGAAACGAAUAACCUAAAAAGGACCAGAUUUUUAAAAAAGCCGGUCCAGUAUCAAGAACUUUGUCACCAUGACGCUAAGCAUCUUAUUCUUUGAAAAGCAUUUUCCACUUCCCGCCCAGAUGUUUGAAGUCAGGAAGAUGCCUCUAAUAUUACAUAAUUACAAAGCUGCUCACUCUCAGUUUCAGGAGGCAAACGUGGCCCACUUCAAGGAAACCAGCCGUUGGCACAUGAUGGCCAUCACAGAGCUCAGGAGCUGACCUUUGGGUGGUUUCUGGUCCACGUGACAAACCCUCCAGGUAAGUCGGAGCAGAAAAGCUACCUGAAGUGAUGGGCAAGUUGCAAAGAGAAAAGGGUGUGGUGCUAUCUGGGAACCAUCUAACGAAAAACCUCUUGCAAGGCAGAUUGAGAAUUUCAGAACAACACUUUCCGACCCAGCUGCCCCAUGACAUCUGUUAACACAAAAGGCAGAGCUGUUUCCUGGAAAGGCUCUUAGUGUUUACAAGGGUGCGACCCUCCUGAUGUUUUUGCAACUUUAAUUAAAAGAUGAGGGAUGGAUUCAUAUCCUCGGCAUUUCCCGUGGGGGAACACACAGGCUGGUUGUACACAACGCUGUACAUUCAAAUGAAAAGAGAAAAAGUGAAUCAGUUAUCCAGAUGUUUCUGAAUUGUACAUGGUCAUAGCCACAGUGGGGAUUUGGUCCAUGGUAAUAAUAUAUUAUUCUUGCAAGAUGGUGGGAGAAAAAUGUUCUGAAAGGAAGAAGAAGGUGUUUUCUUCACACCCUUUUGCACUUUCUUCUCCUUUUUGGGUUUGUGGUUUAACAACGUCCAACAAAAUAGAACAUAGAGACUGAGGACAGAAAACAGAAGCGGAGGGCAAGACCCCUCUUCCAAAUCGCUGGUGGGGGCUGCGGGUUGGAUAGAAACAGCCUUGGUAUAGGGUAGGAGUUGUGGAAACAACACUCAGGCAGAGCCCGGCGGCUCCAGGCGAAGGCGCAGAUAUGUAGCAGGUGGGCACUCAGAAAGUAUGAAUGGCACUAAACAUGACAGUUUGUGUUUCUCAGGUAGUUUAGUCUUUCUUUCUUUGCAGUCUAACAUUUCACCAUUAGAAAUCUUUUCUUUGACUUAAGGAAAAUCUUCUCAGACAUAAGCGUAUGUGAGAAUCAUCCUAGAAAUACGUUAAAUUGCAGGUUUCUGGGCCGGGGCCACUCUCAGAGAUUCUGAUUUAGUGGGUCUGGGGUGGUCUCCGUGAAUGUGCACUGUGAACAAGUACCCCAAAUGGUUCCAGCAUGUUUCUGUUUGUGAGACAAUUAAGGCAUUGCCUAUUCCAGCUGCUCUCUUUCAAAAGAAGACACAGAAACUGCAAAGAGUGACCGUCCAGCCACAGAGUGGGAACCAGGCUCCAGAACACCUAGGGUCUAACUUCGGCUCUUCGUGUGAUUUUGAGCCAUACAAUUAAACUCCGAGGAAUUCCGUUUCCCCAUCCACAAAAUGGAGAAGAAAAUUUUAGCCUAACUACCCUUCUGACUGAUGGGCCAAGGUAAUAACAUUAUUAAAUAAAAUAAUUAAUGUAAAAGCGUUGAAGAGGCUUUGAAAAGCAUUUCAUUCAAUGCACAUAGAAACUGUUCUUAUUAUUUCCCAUUAUCACCCAUUAACACAUGCAUGUGGAUUAGUUUUCAAGAUUAAGCAUUAGGGUGAGGUGAACUUAGAGCAUAAGGGAUAGCUCAGAAAGGAAAGGUGUGGGCGGUGCCACUGCGGCUUACUCAAGGCUGCCAGGAAGGCUCAGGAGGCCACGGAGAUGGGGAGAGAGACAGUAAAGUGUGGAGGUGAGAGUAGGGCUAAGCGUCAGAGAAAAUCUGACCUUCACAAUUUUGUCUUAGGUUUCAUCUUACUGGGCACUAAUAAUGUGCGUGGGGCGAGUUCUAUGUUUUUUAUUCUCAAGAUAUUUUAAUAAGCCUUGAGAGACCCAAACAGCAGAGUGUAGGAGGACCGUUUUUCGUGGAAAGAUAAAUAAAGAAGAGGAACAUUAUGGAAAUCGUAUGGGAAAAGAAUCAGCUUCAAUGCAAAACUUAAAGAAUGUAUUCAAACCAACCACAGACAGCCUCUCACCUUCUGGAUAAUCUCACUCUCUUUUUGGACAGCAAGAAUGGUCAGCUAUCUUCAUAUCCCCUAGGCUGGUUUUGAAAUAGCCACUUCCUUUGGGAAUUCAAACCAAUAAAGAACCCUGCCUUCCAAGGGCAGGGAACCAAGCUAUGUGUGUGUGCACUCAUCUCUCAAAAAUGGUGAUGGGGGGGGUAACAUCUCCAUCUCUCCUGCUGCUUGUGAUUAGCAAAUUCAGUAAAAGGGGAAUGAUGCCUGUCCCUUCCUUAGCACAAAACAUCAGAGACCUGAAGAUGUGAUUCCUAAGGGAAGGGAGGAAAUAUAGGACUGGGGAGCGGGGCCGGUUGCUCAAGGAGCCUCCAGUGGAGAGGUUAAAAUGAGCCUGGAUCCGGCAGAUUACCUCUUGACCAGCGAGACCAUUCUGAAUCGGACAGAUCCCGAAGCUCCCUGCCCGUGUUGUCAGUUCAGGGCACCAACUGGAGUUCGUGCAGCCACUUGGCAUGGCACCGUGGGGCA